rnacentral:rRNA from 1 species
UUCCAGAGCCGGAUGAGAGGAGCUUGCUCCUCGAUUCAGCGGCGGACGGGUGAGUAAUGCCUAGGAAUCUGCCCAGUAGUGGGGGACAACGUUUCGAAAGGAACGCUAAUACCGCAUACGUCCUACGGGAGAAAGUGGGGGAUCUUCGGACCUCACGCUAUUGGAUGAGCCUAGGUCGGAUUACCUAGUUGGUAGGGUAAAGGCCUACCAAGGCGACCAUCCGUAACUGGUCUGAGAGGAUGAUCAGUCACACUGGAACUGAGCCACGUUCAGACUUUAUACGGGAGGCAGCAGUGGGGAAUAUUGGACAAUGGGCGAAAGCCUGAUCCAGCCAUGCCGCGUGUGGUGAAGAGGGCCCUCGGGUCGUAAAGCACUUUAAGUUGGGAGGAAGGGCUUACAGCGAAUACCUGUGAGUCUUUGACGUUACCAACAGAAUAAGCACCGGCUAACUUCGUGCCAGCAGCCGCGGUAAUACGAAGGGUGCAAGCGUUAAUCGGAAAUUACUGGGCGUAAAGCGCGCGUAGGUGGCUUGAUAAGUUGGAUGUGAAAUCCCCGGGCUCAACCUGGGAACUGCAUCCAAAACUGUCUGGCUAGAGUGCGGUAGAGGGUAGUGGAAUUUCCAGUGUAGCGGUGAAAUGCGUAGAUAUUGGAAAGGAACACCAGUGGCGAAGGCGACUACCUGGACUGACACUGACACUGAGGUGCGAAAGCGUGGGGAGCAAACAGGAUUAGAUACCCUGGUAGUCCACGCCGUAAACGAUGUCAACUAGCCGUUGGGAUCCUUGAGAUCUUAGUGGCGCAGCUAACGCAUUAAGUUGACCGCCUGGGGAGUACGGCCGCAAGGUUAAAACUCAAAUGAAUUGACGGGGGCCCGCACAAGCGGUGGGAGCAUGUGGUUUUAAUUCGAAGCAACGCGAAGAACCUUACCUGGCCUUGACAUGCUGAGAACUUUUCAGAGAUGGGAUUGGUGCCUUUGGGGACUCAGACACAGGUGCUGCAUGGCUGUCGUCAGCUCGUGUUCGUGAGAAUGUUGGGUUAAGUCCCGUAACGAGGCGCAACCCUUGUCCUUAGUUACCAGCACGUGAUGGUGGGCACUCUAAGGAGACAGCCGGUGACAAACCGGAGGAAGGUGGGGAUGACGUCAAGUCAGCAUGGCCCUUACGGCCAGGGCUACACACGUGCUGCAAUGGUCGGUACAAAGGGUUGCCAAGCCGCGAGGUGGAGCUAAUCCCAUAAAACCGAUCGUAGUCCGGAUCGCAGUCUGCAACUCGACUGCGUGAAGUCGGAAUCAGCGUAUGUAGAGUAG